rnacentral:sRNA from 1 species
UCCUAGCCUGAUUGCAACGGCAUCCUUUUUGGUUGCGGGCGGAGUAUAAACUGGAGGUUUACGAACGUAGUUCAGGAGUCCGCAACCAAAAAGAUACAGUGAAAAGCAGGAAACGGC